rnacentral:rRNA from 1 species
GACGUAGGGUGCGAGCGUUGUCCGGAUUUAUUGGGCGUAAAGAGCUCGUAGGCGGCUCGUCGCGUCGACCGUGAAACCCGCACGCUUACUGCGGCCGUGCGGUUGAUACGGGCGGGCUAGAGUUCGGUAGGGGAGACUGGAAUCCUGGUGUAGCGGUGAAAUGCGCAGAUAUCAGGAGGAACACCGGUGGCGAAGGCGGGUCUCUGGGCCGAUACUGACGCUGAGGAGCGAAAGCGUGGGGAGCGAACAGG